rnacentral:tRNA from 1 species
GCCCGGGUGGUGGAAUUGGUAGACACGCUAGCUUGAGGGGCUAGUGCCCGUAUUGGGUGUGCGAGUUCAAAUCUCGCCUCGGGCA